CCGCGACCCCAGGUCAGGCGGGAUUACCCGCU
rnacentral:rRNA from 1 species